UUUUCAUCGCUCUCUAUAUUAUUUCCAUUGUUCCAUCUCUCGUCUACCUUCGCCUAGUCAAUUGAAAUUCCCCAUCGUACAUCUACUACUCUUUUAUAAUGAUAUGUCUUUGUCACGCCGUCGUGAAAUACAGCUCUAUGUCUCAGGAAAAAUCUCGAUUUUGACCAAAUUCUGGAUUUCGUUUAAAUUACACCUAAUCGACCCCAAAUUUCACGUAGAUCACGAAUUUUUGGUUUAUCUUGUCAACAGCUCAAUGGUUAAGGAGCUAUCGCUUACUUCCGGUAUACUUCCGGAAAAUUUGCAUGAAAGUUACAAGUGAGCUUUGUUCUCUGUAGAAUUCUAAAGAUUCCAUGCUAAUUUAAGCAAAGAGAGAUGGUCUUUUUGAUUACUUUUAUGACUUGUGACUAUCUAAGGCAAGUCCUUUAGAUAUUGAGUUUUGAACGUGUCAAAUAGAUGGCGUGAAAGAAUGUUGUUUGUUGUGUCACAUAUGGGAUAAUGGCGGUUCGUUGUCAAAAGUUCAGCUACAGCUAUCUUCUUCAAAAAUUACCAAUGAAUUCGUUGGAAAAAAUGUGAAAGGUGCAUGAAGCCAGUACCGUCAACUAUUGUGUUAAAAAUCCUGGUAUCCUACAGAAUAUGUCAUCCAAAUGACAGAGUGGAUUCAUCACUAUUAUCGGCUGGAUCAUUCUAUGGGACUUGCCAGAUCACCAACCCAAGCAUGGACCAAUUUCUCAUUCCAUCUUCUAGAAAACCUUACAUAACUGAUUGGUGGUUUAGUGUGUUUUAGGUUUCUAAUGUAGCAUGAUGAUGAUAGACUUUAUAAAAAGUCAUGUUGUUUGAAGAAAAAGGACUAUACAGUCGACAAGGUUCUUUGCUAACCCGUUGGCUGCUACCCUUGAAUCUCCCUGUUAACUUCCUUACACGGGUCCUCUUGAUUUAAGGGUAAUCCUUCGCUACUGAUCAUAGACCCACUUGUGAAAACCGACGAGAGAAUGCUGUAAUCCAAGACUGAUACAUGUGUAGUUGUUAGAUAAAUGACAAGUGCAUAUCUGGGCUCCCUUCUUUUC